UCACAACAGAUGCAGAUGAAGAGAUGUGU
rnacentral:piRNA from 1 species